rnacentral:rRNA from 1 species
AAAGCUCGUAGUUGGAUUUCUGGUAGGAGCGACCGGUCCGCCUCUUUGAGGUGCUGUACUAGUGUUGCAUCCGGCCAUCCUUGUGGAGAAGGGCUCUGGCAUUAGGUUGUUGGGGUCGGGAUCCGCAUCGUUUACUGUGAAAAAAUUAGAGUGUUUAAAGCAGGCAGUUGCUUGAAUACAUUAGCAUGGAAUAAUAAGAUAGGACUUUGGUGCUAUUUUGUUGGUUUGCACACCGAGGUAAUGAUUAAUAGGGAUAGUUGGGGGUAUUCAUAUUUCAUUGUCAGAGGUGAAAUUCUUGGAUUUAUGAAAGAUGAACUUAUGCGAAAGCAUUUACCAAGGAUGUUUUCAUUAAUCAAGAACGAAAGUUAGGGGAUCGAAGAUGAUUAGAUACCAUCGUAGUCUUAACCAUAAACUAUGCCGACUAGGGAUUGGGGGACGUUAUUUAUAUGACUCCCUCAGCACCUUAUGAGAAAUCAAAGUCUUUGGGUUCCGGGGGGAGUAUGGUCGCAAGGCUGAAACUUAAAGGAAUUGACGGAAGGGCACCACCAGGAGUGGAGCCUGCGGCUUAAUUU